rnacentral:rRNA from 1 species
GAUGAACGCUGGCGGCGUGCCUAAUACAUGCAAGUCGAACGCUGAAGGAAGGAGCUUGCUCUUUCCGGAUGAGUUGCGAACGGGUGAGUAACGCGUAGGUAACCUGCCUGGUAGCGGGGGAUAACUAUUGGAAACGAUAGCUAAUACCGCAUAACAGUAGAUGUUGCAUGAUAUCUACUUAAAAGGUGCAAUUGCACCACUACCAGAUGGACCUGCGUUGUAUUAGGUAGUUGGUGAGGUAACGGCUCACCAAGGCGACGACACAGAGCCGACCUGAGAGGGUGAUCGGCCAGCCUGGGAGGGAGACACGGCCCAGACUCCUACGGGAGGGAGCAGUAGGGAAUCUUCGGCAAUGGACGGAAGUCUGACCGCGCAACGCCGCGUGAGUGAAGAAGGUUGUCGGAUCGUAAAGCUCGGUUGUAAGGGAAGAACGAGUGUGAGAGUGGAAAGUUCACACUGUGACGGUAACUGACCAGAAAGGGACGGCUAACUACGUG